UACGUAGGGACCAAGCGUUGUUCGGAUUUAUUGGGCGUAAAGAGCUCGUAGGCGGCUUGUCGCGUCGAAUGUGAAAUCUCAGGGCUCAACUCUGACAUUGCAUUCGAUACGGGCAGGCUAGAGUUCGGUAGGGGAGACUGGAAUUCCUGGUGUAGCGGUGAAAUGCGCAGAUAUCAGGAGGAACACCGGUGGCGAAGGCGGGUCUCUGGGCCGAUACUGACGCUGAGGAGCGAAAGCGUGGGGAGCGAACAGG
rnacentral:rRNA from 1 species